UACGGAGGGAGCUAGCGUUGUUCGGAAUUACUGGGCGUAAAGCGUGCGUAGGCGGUUAUUCAAGUCAGAGGUGAAAGCCCGGGGCUCAACCCCGGAACGGCCUUUGAAACUAGGUAGCUAGAAUCUUGGAGAGGUUAGUGGAAUUCCGAGUGUAGAGGUGAAAUUCGUAGAUAUUCGGAAGAACACCAGUGGCGAAGGCGACUAACUGGACAAGUAUUGACGCUGAGGUACGAAAGCGUGGGGAGCAAACAGG
rnacentral:rRNA from 1 species